UCAGGAUGAACGCUGGCGGCACGCCUAACACAUGCAAGUCGAACGGAGUUAAGGGAGCUUGCUUUUUAAACUUAGUGGCGGACGGGUGAGUAACACGUGAGCAACCUGCCUUUCAGAGAGGGAUAGCUUCUGGAAACGGAUGGUAAUACCUCAUAACAUAUUGAUACGGCAUCGUAUUGAUAUCAAAGAUUUAUCGCUGAAAGAUGGGCUCGCGUCUGAUUAGCUGGUUGGUGAGGUAACGGCCCACCAAGGCAACGAUCAGUAGCCGGACUGAGAGGUUGAACGGCCACAUUGGGACUGAGACACGGCCCAGACUCCUACGGGAGGCAGCAGUGGGGAAUAUUGCACAAUGGGCGCAAGCCUGAUGCAGCGAUGCCGCGUGAGGGAAGAAGGUUUUCGGAUUGUAAACCUCUGUCAUCGGGGACGAAAAUGACGGUACCCGAGAAGGAAGCUCCGGCUAACUACGUGCCAGCCGCCGC
rnacentral:rRNA from 1 species